AAAAAAAAAAAAAAAAAAAGAGAGAGAGAGAGAGAGAGAGCUAUAUAUAUAUAUGUAUAUUGUUAUUAUUUUAAAUC
rnacentral:ribozyme from 14 species